rnacentral:rRNA from 1 species
AGUGAACGCUGGCGGUAGGCCUAACACAUGCAAGUCGAACGGCAGCACAGUAAGAGCUUGCUCUUACGGGUGGCGAGUGGCGGACGGGUGAGGAAUACAUCGGAAUCUACUUUUUCGUGGGGGAUAACGUAGGGAAACUUACGCUAAUACCGCAUACGACCUACGGGUGAAAGCAGGGGAUCUUCGGACCUUGCGCGAUUGAAUGAGCCGAUGUCGGAUUAGCUAGUUGGCGGGGUAAAGGCCCACCAAGGCGACGAUCCGUAGCUUGUCUGAGAGGAUGAUAGGCCACACUGGAACUGAGCCACGGUCCAGACUCCUACGGGAGGCAGCAGUGGGGAAUAUUGGACAAUGGGCGCAAGCCUGAUCCAGCCAUACCGAGUGGGUGAAGAAGGCCUUCGGGUUGUAAAGCCCUUUUGUUGGGAAAGAAAAGCAGCAGGUUAAUACCACGCUGUUCUGACGGUACCCAAAGAAUAAGCACCGGCUAACUUCGUG